rnacentral:tRNA from 1 species
AGUAAAGUCAGCUAAACAAGCUCUCGGGCCCAUACCCCGAAAAUGAUGGCUAAACCCCAUCCUCUACUA